rnacentral:rRNA from 1 species
AGUGAACGCUGGCGGUAGGCCUAACACAUGCAAGUCGAACGGCAGCACAGUAAGAGCUUGCUCUUACGGGUGGCGAGUGGCGGACGGGUGAGGAAUACAUCGGAAUCUACUUUUUCGUGGGGGAUAACGUAGGGAAACUUACGCUAAUACCGCAUACGACCUACGGGUGAAAGCAGGGGAUCUUCGGACCUUGCGCGAUUGAAUGAGCCGAUGUCGGAUUAGCUAGUUGGCGGGGUAAAGGCCCACCAAGGCGACGAUCCGUAGCUGGUCUGAGAGGAUGAUCAGCCACACUGGAACUGAGACACGGUCCAGACUCCUACGGGAGGCAGCAGUGGGGAAUAUUGGACAAUGGGCGCAAGCCUGAUCCAGCCAUACCGCGUGGGUGAAGAAGGCCUUCGGGUUGUAAAGCCCUUUUGUUGGGAAAGAAAAGCAGCAGGUUAAUACCCCGCUGUUCUGACGGUACUCAAAGAAUAAGCACCGGCUAACUUCGU